AUGAACGCUGGCGGCGUGCCUAAUACAUGCAAGUCGAGCGAACAGACGAGGAGCUUGCUCCUCUGACGUUAGCGGCGGACGGGUGAGUAACACGUGGAUAACCUACCUAUAAGACUGGGAUAACUUCGGGAAACCGGAGCUAAUACCGGAUAAUAUAUUGAACCGCAUGGUUCAAUAGUGAAAGACGGUUUUGCUGUCACUUAUAGAUGGAUCCGCGCCGCAUUAGCUAGUUGGUAAGGUAACGGCUUACCAAGGCAACGAUGCGUAGCCGACCUGAGAGGGUGAUCGGCCGCACUGGAACUGAGACACGGUCCAGACUCCUACGGGAGGCAGCAGUAGGGAAUCUUCCGCAAUGGGCGAAAGCCUGACGGAGCAACGCCGCGUGAGUGAUGAAGGUCUUCGGAUCGUAAAACUCUGUUAUUAGGGAAGAACAAAUGUGUAAGUAACUAUGCACGUCUUGACGGUACCUAAUCAGAAAGCCACGGCUAACUACGUG
rnacentral:rRNA from 1 species